GUCCUCAUGGUGUAACGGUAGGACACUCGGUGCGUAUUCGAAUGGUCCAGGUUCGAAUCCUGGCGAGGGCA
rnacentral:tRNA from 1 species